UGUAGGAGUGAGCCUGCUCGCGAUAGCGGUGUGUCAUAUACGCAAAUGUUGAAUGACACAUCGCUAUCGCGAGCAGGCUCACUCCUACA
rnacentral:antisense_RNA from 1 species